AUAUCUCUUGGAUCACAAACGGUUUCUAGAACUCAUUUGUUUAUUUGCUCUGUUCCAAGUCCCAGAAAUAAAAAUGAACUUCCCAUAGGAACCACCUGCUCUUCAGUGAUCUUUAAUCCAUCCACCCUUGUCAAAGCGUUUGAAAAGGAGAAGACGGAAGACUCACCAUUUGAUUGCUGUACCAGUAUAGCGACGUUCCCUUCAGCACCACCCAGAACUUUUUCCAUUUGUUGCUCAGGAAAGUUCCUUUUUCUUUUUUCUUAUAUAGCCAACCUUGGCAGUCAGCAUGUCCCAGGUCUUUACAGGAUAUCCUCCUCCGACUCAUCGUGAAAAAACCUGCAACAAUUAUAUGAAGAGCCAGCUUUCUAAUGUAAAAUAAGAAGAGCUGAUAGAGGAUGAUGGAAGACAAAAAGAAAAAAUUCAUCUCUAAUUCUUCCAAUUUAUCUAUUCUAG